UCUUUUUUUUAAAAAAAAGUUUUGGUUUGGUUAUUUUUUUUUUUUAAAAACCAAACCGAACCGAAAAUGAUCACCUCUACCGGAGGGUCUGAUGACGGUAUGACAGGGAGUAUCAAAGGCAAGUAAAUAAUGCAGCACGUGGAAGGGAAUUUGAGUCCAGGUUUUAUUUCAACUUCGAUAGGUGUCAAUUCUCAUACUUCGGCCUUUGUUUUGAAAGACACUCCUCCUGACCUAGGUAUUGAGCUUUCUUUUGUUACCCGAACUUCAGAAGGAACUAUGCCAAGGGUUGAGGGCAUGGCUAUGUCCAUUAAUUGUUAAGGUGAUCAGGGGUUUAAUGAGGGGAUGACUAUUCAGAUGGAUGGUGGGCAGUAACUAUUCUGCUAUACUUUUGCUACUUAUUAUCUAUCUUUUUAUUAUGAAUAUGUUUACAGAUUUUUCUAUAAUCUCAUGGAAUGUUCGUGGUGGUGCUAAUAAGAUAAGAAAAUGCCACUGCAAAGAAUUGGUAAGGUAUAGUCCUCCUUUGUUUGUCUUGUUGGAAACGCAUGCCAAUUUUUUGAAGGUUAAGAAUUUUUGGUACAGUAGUAGUUAUACUCCAGUGGCUGUUUCUGAAGCCCAAGGACAUGUCAGUGGCAUAUGGAUUAUAUCUUUUGUUAGCUUGGUCUCCUUUUCAACCUUGGAUAUCACUAGGCAAUGUGUUACCGUUCAGAUUUUUAUGGGAAGCAACUCCUAGUUCUUAUCGGCAGUCUAUGCCUCGCCCAUUCCUAGAGUUCGACUUCAAUGAAAUAUCUUCUCGUUCAGAAACUUGAGGAGAUCUCUUCUCCUGUGCUAGGGCUUCACGUUUCUUGCAGAUGAUGUCAGAUUGUGAGGUUUCAAAUUUGGGCCACCAGGACCCUAAUUUUACUUGGCACAAACAUAUUCAUGGGGUUCGUUACUUAGCAAAACGGCUUGACAAAGCACUGGCUUCUUUGGAUUGGCAAACUAGUUUUCCUAAAGCUUAUGUUGAAACUUUAUGCAGAAUUCACUCUGAUCACAACCCGAUUAUUCUACCGUGGGAGAUCGCUAGACUGACUUGUGAAAGAUCUUUUAGGUUUGAGGCAGCCUGGACUACCCAUUCAGAUUAUCAGGAUAUUGUUUGUAGUGCUUAGGAUAGAGGUUGCCAUAAUGUCCUGAAGGGGCUUCAGGAGGUUUGGUAGGAUUCUAUUUCUUUCAAUCAACACACUUUCGGGAAUAUUUUCCACAGAAAAAGAUAGCUUGAAGCUCGGAUUAAUGGUGUCUAGAGGUGUCUUGAGCAUUAUACUGAUGAUUCACUUCUUUCUUUAGAAAAAUCUUUACGUCAUGGUUAUAAAGUUUUAGGUUCCAAAAAUCUAGAGAACAGUGGGUUACUCAUGGUGAUAGGAUAUAUAAAGUUCUUUCAAGCUCAGACAACUAUGCGGAGAAGACGGAACAAGAUUAACGGGCUUUUUCUCUCUGAUGGGACUUGGUGCACUGAUGAUUCUAAACUGCAGGAAGAGGCCAUCUAGUUUUAUAAGAAUUUGUUCUGCCCUAAGGUAACUGUUACUGCUCACUUUAUGGAGUCUGUUCCUUUGCCUAUAUUAUCUUCACAAGGAAUCUCUAAUUUAGAGAAACCAGUUUCUAAAAAGGAUGUUUAUGCAGCUCUAAUGAGUAUGAGAUCUUUUAAAUCUUCGGGGAAGGAUGGCUUCCAAACUGUUUUCUUAAAAAAAAUACUAGAAUGUGGUUGGGGAUGACAUCUGGCAUCUGGUUCAAGCUGCUUUUAUUAAUGGAUGUUUUGAUAAAGAUCUGACUAAUACUUUUAUUGUGUUAAUUCUCGAGGAGAGACCCACAAGUUUGAAGUAGUUUCGCCCUAUUAGUCUUUGUAAUGUAGUUUAUAAACUCAUUACUAAGGUGCUAGUGAACAGGCUGCGACCUUAUUUAGAUGAUUUAAUUGGCCCCCUCCAGAGCAGCUUUAUUUCUAGUCGGAGUACUACUGAUAAUGCCUUUGUUGCUCAAGAAGUAAUGCAUCAUAUGCAUCACUCCAAAAGCAAGCGGGGUACUCUGGCGGCAAAGAUUAAUUAUGGGAAAGUCUAUGAUAGGGUGAUACGGGACUUCUUGUAGUCCAUUCUAGAGGAUUUCGGUUUAACUCCUGGUAUAGCAUCUCUAAUUAUGUUCUGUAUGAGGUCUUCCUCCCUCACUCUCUCAUGGAACGAGUCUAAGCUUCACUCAUUUACUCCUACUUGUGGCCUUAGGCAAGGAGACCAAUUUCUCCUUACUUGUUUGUUUUUUGUAUGGAGAAAUUGGUGUGUUUAACUACGAAGAAAGUUUCAGAGAAGAUUUGGCAUCCUAUCCACCUUUUGAGAGGGGGGCCAGGAAGGUGGCUGGAAUACACAGAAAUAAUACGGCUCAGGUGCCCAAGAUAGCAAAUAUGAGCAAAGAUUGUCAUAAUUGGAAGCCAGUGAAAGAGGAGUUCACAUUUCCUGCAAACUCUGCUCCCUUCAAUAGCUGCAAUGCCUCUACCAUUGUUGCAAUUGUCUAAUUGGGUUAAAUAAUUCUCUUCGAAUUCUUACAGUUUGCCUUCAUCAUCAGCAGUUUAAUGUUUUGCUGAUCUGUGCUUUGUGCAGGUUGAUAAAGAUCACCUUUUGGUUGCUUAUUUUGAAGGUCCAAAAGAGGGAGCACCUGAUGUUCAAAUUUGGAUACAGACAUACAAAGGCUUUCCAAUCCUGCUGCAUAUCUGCUGAUGGGAUUUCUCCCAAAAGGCCCAAUUGUAGUACUCCAAGGUGGCCAAAAAAUUAUCAAACAGUUGCUUCCGCAGAGAAAGAUACUUGAAAAUUCUUGAACUCAACUCCAUUCAAAUGCACCAUAUGAGAAGGAACACAGUCUCGAGAUCUUACGAUCUUCCUUCUGCAAAACCAUUCCAAUUCAUCAAUAACAAGUUCUCUAUCUUUUUUGUUUCUGUUCCCCUACCUAUCACAAGGAUCUUGUCCCACAUAUGUCCCAAGCCAGUGAGCAAUAUUAAAACAUUGUUUCAACACAUGAGACUCUUCCUUCCAGUAGCAGUAAACUGCACUUCCUCGGUAGUUUAAGUGACAUCAAUUAACUCACUGUUGGAUUCAAAAGAUUCGUGUAAAAAAAGCAGUUUUAGGAAGAUCCUGGACCAAUCCAUUGAUGCCUUCACUUCUUUUAAGCCCUCUUGACUUAGUUGCCUUUCUUUAACUGCUGUGAGUAAUUGAUUCAUUGUCAAAGUUCCUCUUCAUGCUCCUCUUUGGAUUUUAAGAUUGUUUAUCUCAUAUGGGUGGGUAUCUGCUGUGCAUGAUGGUUACUGGCAAUCGCCUAUCAUUGUUGAUGAACAGCCUGAUGUUCCUAUGUGGAACCCUUUACUGUUCAAACUGUCACCAGAGGAGCUACUUUUGUCAUAUAAAUUCGGUCAAGACAAAAGUAAAACUUCCAAUCUCCAUGGUCUUCCAUUUAACUAUUCCUUUUUGUAGUCAAGUUUUCCCAAAUAGUAUGUAUAUGAGUUUGUUGGUUGUUGGUAAAUUCAAAUGUUUUCAUCUAAUUUCAAGAACACAAAAGGCUAUUCUGUUUUGUAUAUCGCGUGGAAUACAGAAUGCCAUACAUUUUUCAAGUCUGUCAUUAUACCAUAUAUUCUGCAUAAGAAAAUUAUGCCACAUCGAAUUGAAUUCUUAAUCCCACGGGGGGAAUUGAAAAGAAAAGUAACUUUUGAUGCAA